ensembl:lncRNA
GUUACAGGUGAGUUUUCACUUUGAGGAGAUGUCGCAUGAAGCGUGUGGAAUAUCAAUGACGACUGUUUUUAGCUAAAAGACCUGAAGAGUCAGCAUGAAUUCUGUUCCCAGCACAGUGAUGUCACAGACACACAGCUCAGGCAGAGUUGGUGACACUUUGAGGAGCAGCUGAAGAUCCGGGUGAGCUGAAGAGAGUGAUGCUGGGCUGACCCGAGUUAAAAGGGAUCCAGUGCAAAACAGUGGAAAGAGGGCAGGCAGGUGCCAUAGUGAAAUCCUUCCCAGGAGUCAGAGCGUGAAACAGCUGCUGUGACCAGAGAGCUGUAGCACAAGAAAAACAAGUAGAUUGCGCUGGAUUAACUCCAGGUGAGUUGGGCAGGUGAGGAGAUGACAGCUCCGCCCAGGGGCGGACACAGGAGAAUCUGGAGCUCAGUGGAAAACUACCAGCAGCUCACUCGGACUGUCACACUUAGAUGGUUUAAAUGUCAAAAUCUGAAUACAAAAUAAAAGUAUAAUGAAAUAUUUAAUCUUUCCCUAUGUGUGUGUCAAUGGAAAAUUGUACUUAGUAGUCAGUAUAAGCUUUUAAUGAUAUAAGUUUGCAUAUGAUAGAAUACUGUAUGUUGACCUUUUGAUGACUUAGACUGUUGUCCACUACAAGACUGUUUUAUAAAUUCUUUCUCACAGCGAUAAUAGCUGAACAAGCAGGAAGAGGAGAGCUGGACACUCUUAUCUGACGCUCCCUAACAAGAAGAGAGGCCGCGUCUUUCUGUAUCCCACAACACACAUGCAUACACCUAAACCACUCUUAUCUUCACUCCCUACGCACUAACAUUCCUCUGCCUAUGAAUAGACGUAUUCACUGUUGUAUUGCUUUGUAUAUAAAUAAAGACCAGAGCAAGAACAGGAUGCGCAUCACAGGGCCCCCACUCUGGUGUGAGCGUUCUGUGAUCGCCCUUGUAUACAAGUGAAAACCACAGCGUCUGUGUGUUUCUACCCUUAGACUCUUAGCUGAAGAAGUGUCUUUAGAAUAAAUCUCUUGACAGUGUGUGAAACUGAACAUGGCACAAAUAUCAAAAUAAAAUAAGAAGUAAUACACACUGUAUAGGAAUUUCUUUUACUUAUGUAUUAAUCACAUUAUUUUAUUGUAUAAUGCCUUGGUGCCACUGGAUUUUAACAUGUCUCACACCAAUAUUGUAAGACAAAUGGUGGGGGUCUAGUUAGGAAGUUGGGGGAAGCAGACAACUCAACAGGAAGAAUCUUUUGUCUCUUUGAGGACUCUGGGAGGUAGCAAGGGAGUGUGAAUCUUAAGGUGUGAAACAGCUGUGUACUGCCUUUUGUUCCUGGAGAAGGUAUUUAACUGAGAGCCAUGCUAGGCUCGUGAGACUCUGCUGACCGUCUGCCCCGCGGUCAUGCAGGCUCUCCACAACCUUGGUUGUCUGUUCUUUGUGUGCUUUGAUUAAAGAAUGUU